UUGAGGAGUUCAGGGUGGCUGGCUUGAGACCAAUGGGGGUGUCGGUGAGAACACACGUGUCCAGUCAGGAUUCACAGUUCAAUUUGUUUAUUGGAGUUUCCAGUGAGGAUAUGAGUAGGACUGUAUGGAUGUGUGUGUACAAGCAUGUGUGUGUAAUAGGAAGGUGUGUGUGAGGAAGGCGUGUGUGUGAGAUAGGAAGGCGUGUGUGUGAGGAAGGCGUGUGUGUGAGGAAGGCGUGUGUGUGUGAUAGGAAGGCGUGUGUGUGAGGAAGGCGUGUGUGUGAGGAAGGCGUGUGUGUGAGAGAGGAAGGCGUGUGUGUGAGAUAGGAAGGCAUGUGUGUAAGGAAGGCGUGUGUGAGGAAGGCGUUGUGUGUGGUUUAUGUUUCA
ensembl:lncRNA